rnacentral:lncRNA from 1 species
UUAAUUUAGUCCCUGGCUCGCUGAUCUACUGGAGAAGGGACACGUGUCCAGAGGAUUGGGUUAUUUCCCCAUUUGGUCCCUCCUUGUUAUUCGUGCGUUACAACUUGGUCCUUUACUUUAUUUUCAUUCCCGAUUUUUGCCCAAAAUUCUGUUUAAACUUCAAUUUAGUCCUUUAGGCAUUUAUUUCAUUAUAAUUUAGGCCCAAAACCUCCU